rnacentral:rRNA from 1 species
CCCCAUAACGAUGCGCUUCCGCAUGGAAGAGCAUCUAAAGCUCCGGCGGUAAGGGAUGGGCAUGCGUGACAUUAGCUAGUUGGCGGGGUAACGGCCCACCAAGGCUACGAUGUCUAGGAGGUCUGAAAGGAUGGUCUCCCACACUGGUACUGAGACACGGACCAGACUCCUACGGGAGGCAGCAGUGAGGAAUAUUGGUCAAUGGGUGCAAACCUGAACCAGCCAUGCCGCGUGAAGGAUGAAGGCUCUAGCGGUUGUAAACUUCUUUUGUUGGGGAAUAACCCCGGGUACGUGUACCCGGCUGAACGUACCUGACGAAUAAGCACCGGCUAACUCCGUGCCAGCAGCCGCGGUAAUACGGGGGGUGCAAGCGUUAUCCGGAUUUAUUAGGUUUAAAGGGUGUGUAGGCGGAUUGGUAAGUCAGCGGUGAAAUCCCCCAGCUUAACUGGGGAACUGCCAUUGAUACUGCCGACCUUGGAUGUAGAUGAAGUGGGCGGAAUGAGUAAUGUAGCGGUGAAAUGCAUAGAUAUUACUCAGAACACCGAUUGCGAAGGCAGCUCACUAAACUACUAUCGACGCUGAGACACGAAAGCGUGGGGAGCGAACAGGAUUAGAUACCCUGGUAGUCCACGCCGUAAACGAUGAUAACUCGUUGUGUGCGGUACACAGCACGCGACUGAGCGAAAGCAU